rnacentral:rRNA from 1 species
CUUGAGAGAGCUUGCUCUCUCAGUUAGUGGCGGACGGGUGAGUAACACGUGAGCAACCUGCCUUUAAGAGUGGGAUAACGGUCGGAAACGACCGCUAAUACCGCAUAAUAUACAUGAAUCGCAUGGUUUGUGUAUCAAAGAUUUAUCGCUUAAAGGUGGGCUCGCGUCUGAUUAGCUGGUUGGUGAGGUAACGGCUCACCAAGGCGACGAUCAGUAGCCGUACUGAGAGGUAGAACGGCCACAUUGGGACUGAGACACGGCCCAGACUCCUACGGGAGGCAGCAGUGGGGAAUAUUGCACAAUGGAGGAAACUCUGAUGCAGCGAUGCCGCGUGAGGGAAGAAGGUUUUCGGAUUGUAAACCUCUGUCUUAAGGGACGAUAAUGACGGUACCUUAGGAGGAAGCUCCGGCUAACUACGUGCCAGCAGCCGCGGUAAUACGUAGGGAGCGAGCGUUGUCCGGAAUUACUGGGUGUAAAGGGAGUGUAGGCGGGAUGGUAAGUUAGGUGUGAAAUGCGGAGGCUCAACCUCCGAGCUGCACUUAAAACUGCUGUUCUUGAGUGAAGUAGAGGUUGGCGGAAUUCCCAGUGUAGCGGUGAAAUGCGUAGAUAUUGGGAGGAACAUCAGUGGCGAAGGCGGCCAACUGGGCUUUUACUGACGCUGAGGCUCGAAAGCGUGGGGAGCAAACAGGAUUAGAUACCCUGGUAGUCCACGCUGUAAACGAUGAUUACUAGGUGUGGGGGGGGCUGACCCCUUUCCGUGCCGC